UGAAUUGAGCUACCUAGUGCCUUUUGAUGGUGGAAAGUGACAAAUAUAAAUACUUGAAAUAAACUGAUUAACAUUCAACUAGAAAACCCAAUACAAAAGGGGGACAUAGAAUUAAUGAAGAACUCAUAAUAAGAUCAUCAACACACAUAUAAAAUACAUGGAGGGAGUUAUGAGGAAACACUACAAUUGAGAUAAUUACUAGUACAUACUUCUUAAGAGGACCUGUGAAAGUUAAAAUAGUUUGUAUAGCUGUGAGUAUUAGGAGUAUAAUGGCUGCCACAGUUGAAGCUCCUACCCAAGGACUACUAAAAUAAUUGCGCAUUAAAUUUGCCUUCAUUCUAUUCCAUGGUUUUUCACGAUAUUCAAUUGCUUUUUUGAUUUCUUCUGUGUAAUAGAAGUUGAAAUACGUAGUGACCCCUUUUCCGAUUUUGUUGAAGAGGCUAGCAACUUCUUUGUCCUCUCCUAUCCAGUUCUCUAUGAUUCCUUUCUAGCAAAGCAAACCCACAUCUUUGUCUGAGUCGAUAAGAUGAUCCAUGAAAGUUGCAUAAUCGCUAAAAUAUGUAGGAUAUACAUCAGGUGAUUGUUGCUCAUAAGCAAUGAAAUUUCUCAGGAGAGUUUCUGUACCAUCUACGACUAGAAAAUAAGGGAUUGGCAUCAAUCCAUUCUCGAACUUUAUAUCAAAUAAACUUGUCAUAUUUCUGACCUUUGCAUAGCUAACUCCGGCUUCGGAAAGCUCUGUUGCAUUUGGCAUGACCGUAGGACUCGUUAAGCAAUCUUCUGAGUUUUUCAUGGGAUUCCCAUGACUUGAAAAUAUGUGUACUACAUGAAGUAAAUGUUUGACAUUUUCUGCAUUACAUUCUAUCUUUCCAAAGGAUUCAAGGGUCAUUUUUGGCCAGUUAACAAAAAAGGUAAACACCUUAUUCACCAGUGUUGCCAAUGGUAAAUCAUCAUCUUGCUUUGUCAUGUCAUGGAGCUUGUCGAGGACAAAGAAAGGAAAUUGAUUUUCUAGUAACAUCAAGUCUCGGAAUAUGUAAUUAUGAUUAAUAUUAAUAAUCUUGUCUUCUACUUUUGGAUAUAUUCCACAACAGUACUCUCGAAUAAACUCAACCACAAAAUAACCGUCAAACAACAACAUUUCGGAAAAUUCAUGACUAAUAUCAUUACCAAGCUUUUCUAUAUCUUUGUAACACUUCAGUACUUCCUCCUUCACUUUCUCCAAUUCAUUGAUGUAACUUUUCACAUCAAGUCUCUUAUUUCGUUGAAGAAACCUUCGUAGGUAUAAUAGUUUGUUCUUUUUCAUUGGACCAAGUUUAGUAUUCUUCUUAUGAUAAGGACCAAUGGAGACCAUCUUUGGUGUAUAAGCAUCUGAAUUUGAUUCACGUUGCCACACAUUCACUUUGAAUAUCGUACAUGAUUUAAUAGAUGAAUUGUCUAAAUCCUCAAACAUUUCAUCAAUUCUUUCAUUUUUGUCGAUUAAAUGAUCCACUUUCCUCCCUUCUUCUAUCUGUAACGGAGAAGAGGCAAGUAUACCCUUCUUAACUUUGCGGUCUAGAUCAAAUAUAUAUUUCGUAAAAAAAAAAGUAAUGCAUUUCAUUGUUUUAUAAAUGAUGCAUAUUUACCCCUUUUGUUAAUAGAGUGAAUUAAAAAAAAUAUAGAACUAAUUUUUUAAUUUUAAAAAUGUCACGUGACUUUAAAAAAUUACCACACCUUAUGCAUUACCCCUCCAAAUCUCUUGAAAUUCAUGCACGUAUAUAGAAAAAGAUUAUACAUUUAAUUGUCAAAAGAAAAGUGUGUUAAUGAAAUAAAAAAAUAAAUUUAUAUAGUUGAGAGAGACCUCAUCUUUUUUAGUUUGAGGAAGCAGUGGAAUUUGGUCAUCUAUUGGGGUAAUCUCAAUGGAGUGAUCUGCCAUACUUCUUUCUUCAACUAUAAGUCCUACAAAAGAAAGUUGUUUGUUUUUUAAAGAAAUUUUGAACGAAAUAAGCCAUUAUUUAAAACAGUUUAUCAAAAUAAUAUAUUUUUCUGAAAUUUUACAAAAUUAGAAUAAACAUAUUUCUUAAUAACGUUUUGGCUUUAUUUCAUUCAAAAGAAUUCAAUGAAAAAAAUACAAAGAUCUGACGGAGUAAAUAGAUAUAAAAUGUUACUAUCAGUAACGUUUUAUAAUUCGUCACUCUGAGACACAUUUACAGCUAAUUACGUUACUCAUAAUAAUGUUGGAGGCAAAGGCAGAGGCCAAUUAAAGGAUCAUUCAUAGACUCAAGGUUGAGAUUUGAGAAUUCAUCCUCUAUUUGUAAACAUAGCAAAAUUAGAAACAAAAGUGUUGGAGGCAGAGGCAAAUAUAGUUAAUAUUCUACGGGGUAGACUAUAGACUUAAUAAUUUUUGACAAGAAAAAUAGAUAUAUAUAAUGUAAAAAUCACUAGAAUUCUAAAGAAACGUUACCGUGAUGCCUCAGGGUAACAAAUUAUAAAAGAUAGCAACAUUUAAUAUUUGCUUAUUCUGAAUAAAAUAUAGCCUAAAACGUUAUUGAGAAGCACGUUUAUUCUAAUUUCGUAAAACUUCAAAAAAUAAAAACGUAUUAAUUUGAUGAAUUGAUUUAAAUAAUAACUUUGGUCAAAAAUCAUUUUUUUAAAUCAAAUUAAUUACAAAAUUUGAUUUGAAAAGAAAAGACAAGCAAAAAGGGAAAUCAAUUUUAAUUUUCUUGUAGCUUUAUGAAAAAGAACCCUAUAUACAUGUCUUGUCAUAACCUGUAGAAAAAUAAACUAAUUUGAGGUAACCUGCAGGCCUAACACACACACACACACAUAUAUAUAUAAGUACAUACAUAAAAUGGUGCAUGUGUAAAGCAUUUAAAAUAAUAAUUACCUUUUUGAUUUAUCUAUUUAUAAAUUGAAAAUGGACUAGUUGGAGUGUACUUGAGUGUCUUCUUAAAUUCUUCUCUGUUCAACUUUUUUGAGGGUGAAGAAUGAGAGAUGAAGAAUAAAAAAUUAUAUAUGAGUAUUAUAUAUAGAUUUUCUUUUGUGUGAUUACAAGCCUGCCUAUAUUACUAACAUGAAAUAAUGUACAUUGUUGAGAAAAGUAUCGUGGAAUAAAUAAAACUUCAGUAUCACAGAAUAAAUGAAUAAUACAUAAAUCAUAGAAUAAAUAAGGCUUCAGUAUUAUAGAACAAAUGUAUAAUACAUAAAUAUGUCUUUUAGUUUGACCUUGACUAAUAUUUAUACCCCUUCUAACUUUGCAUGUGCCCAAAUAAACACUUAAAUUUAUACAGAGUUGAACAAACACAUGCACAAAUUCUCCGUGGCAUCCUAUAUGUGUUUUGCCACAUAAAACGUGUGUAUGUGGCAUAAAGUUAGAUGUCUAUUGAGGCCAACAAAAAGACAUAUAUGCCUAGAAUAAAUAAAAUUUCAGUAUCAUAGAAUAAAUUAAUUUUUUCUAUCUUAUCACAUAGGAUAGGCCCAAGAGUCAUCCAAAGUUAUAGUAGAAAAGGAGUCAUUAAUGACAACUUUAAUUUGGUGUUCCAUAUACAAUGCUUUAUCAUCUGAUAAUAAUAGAAUUUAUUCUUCUCCAUGUACUUACAAGCAGCCCAAGAUUUUUAUAUCUCCCAACAAACAUGUUACAUGAGGUCCCUUAAACCCUUUUUGUGGAUGGUAUUUUUGCAAUUUAAGUGUAUACUUGUGCAGACUCAAAGUUGGAGGGCAUAGUUGUCUGUUAAAGCUAAAUUAAGGGUCAUGUUUAUGUAUUAUGCCAAUUAAAUAUAUGUAUGAAAUAAUGGAGGAUUUGUUGGGGAUAUGAGGUAUGAAUGGGAAAUAAGGAAAGUGUCAUUUUUCAAUAAAACAUUAACUGUCGUGUGAUUUGCUUUGUUUGUUGAGUUCGCUGGCGUUUUGUAAUUUGCAUUGCCGCUAUUACACAAAUGUUUUUCCAUUCUAUCCUGGGAGGAAGUAACCCGAAACCAUGGCAAUAGUGAGGGGGUUAUAGGGUUAUAAUUUCUUAAAAGACACACAAACAACUUGUGGGCUCGGAAUAAUAUUCUACUUCUUCUACAAACUUUUCUACAUUCUUCUUUGUAAUAGAAAUCACUAUAGAUAUUGACCCCCUGCCCUAUUUUAUCAAAGAUGUUAGCUACUUCAUUGUCCUCUCCUAGUUGAUUGCUUAUGAUUCCUUUUUGACGAAGCACAUUAAUUCACAUAUUUGUCUGAGUCGAUAAGAUAAUCCAUGAACACAACAAAAUCAGAAAGUACAUCAUAUGUUUGUUGCUUAUAGGCUACAAGAUUUCUCCAUUACAUCAUCAACUUCAAAAUGUUUGGUAGUCUUUUAUCUUUUGACAUAAUCUUCAUACUUAAAUACUGAACACUCAGGAAAGAAUUAUAGUAUGAAGAGUGCGACAACAUGUGUACUAGUUGAAGCCAGUGGCAGAUAAGGUUGUGGAUGCUCUGAAAGUGGAGGAGUCAAAAAUAUAAAAAAUGACAUGUUAAAAGUGAGAUUCAAACUCAGGCUCAGCAAUACUAAAAGAGCCUUAAGCACCCACCCAAGAGCCAAUGGACCAGUAAGAUCAUUUGUUCACUAAGUGCUCUAUGUUAAUUUUAUACAAAUACCUCUUAAUUUCUACACAGAUAUAUAUAUUCCGAGACGACGUUAAUGGGUGCUUGAGCACCCGGAGGACUCUAUGUGGGUACACCCCUGGUUGAAGCAGAUGUUUGAUGUAUUUGAUAUCACCUUCCCUCUCAAGAUAGGACCAUCAAUUUCCUUUGUCAUAUCAUGAAGCUUGGUGAGCACAAAGAAAGGAAGUUGGAAACAACAAAUCUCGACGUGCAAUGUUUAUCAUACAAUUCGCUGUUAGGCGUCAUUCCACUACACUCUUGAAUAAACUCAACUACGAAACAUCCAUCUAGUAAAGGUAUUUCUGAAAAUUUGCAAAUGAUAUCAUUGUUCAAGUUUUCUAUAAUGAGGAAACACUCACUCAGUACUAAAUGUAACCCAUGGAGGUUUGGCCGAAAAGCCACCUCUUGUACUCUUUUUGCGAAGUUAUCAAUAAGUUGGGGUCUAUACCUAACCCCCCACCAAUAGGUGGUUUUGAAAAAAAAAAGAAAAGGAAACACUCACUCAGUCAACAAUUGGUUACAUAGUUACAACAAAGAUUACUUCAUAACGUCACCAAUAAAAGCCAGAACAUUCUGCAUAACAGCGAGUACAAGAAGUGUUAUAGCUGCCACAGUUGAAGCUCCUACCCAAGGACUCGAGAAAUAGUUGUGCCUUAAACUAGCCUUCAUUUGACUCCAUGGCUUAUCACAAUGUUGAAUCAAUUUGCUGCAUUCUUUUAUGUAAUAAAAGCUUGUGAUUUCCACCCCAUCUGAAAGUUUCUUGAAAAUGCUGGCCACAUGUUUGUCAUCCCCUAUGUCCUUAAGGAUGAUUUUCUCCUUGCGAAGAAACUUCACAUCUCAUGAAGGUUUCCAUAGUAUCCUCGAUUACAAAACAAGGUAUUUUCAUUAAUCCCUUCUCAAACUUGAUAUCGAAUAAUGUUGUUUUAUCCUCCUUCUUUUCUUGCACAUAUCCUAUUCUUAUGAAUCUAACUCCAGCAUCGUAAAGCUCUGUUACACUUGGAAUAUGAUAGCAAUCCCAUAAACCAAGAACUUUGGGAGUUUCUUUUGACUUCGUUAAUUGCAAAACGUUGUCACAAAAUCUUAUCUUGCAACAUUCUUUUGGUGUAGUAGAAUUUGUGUUUUGUUUAGCUUUCAUAUGAUCAUGAUCUGAUGGUCGAGAAAACAUGUGUACUACGUGAACUAAAUGAUUGAAUUGUUCUGUAUUAAAAUUGUGAAUCUCUGGUGGGGGUAUGAAUUUCGCCUUUGGGAAAGUAUCAAGUAAGGUCUUUCUUACCAUAAACAAGAAGCUCACUUCUUUAUGAUGCUUUGUCAUGUCAUGAAGCAUGGUAAGUACAAAGAAAGGGAGUUGAUUUUCUAGUAACACCAUGUCUCGACACACUUGUUUCUUCAUCCAUUCCAAGUUGAUGAUGUUGUCGUUGUCUUCUUCUUCUUCUUUUUCCUCGGUUGCAUAGUACUCUCGCAUAAAUUUGACCACAAAACAACCAUCAAGCAACAACAAUUUUGAAAAUUUGCCAACAAUAUCAUCGUCAAAGUUAUCGUCAUAACACUUUAGUGUUUCAUCUUUCUUUUUCUCCAAUGCACUAAUGCAACUUUCCACAUCAAACCCUUCUUUUCGCUCGAGAAAUUGUUGUAGGUACAACAAUUUGUACUUCUCCAUCGAACUAAGUUCAUGAGUCCUUUUAUGGUAAGGACCAAUGGAGAUCAACAUUGGCAUAUAAGCAUCUGCAUUUGAUUUUCGUAAAAUUUGAUAUCAAGUUUAAUUGAAGAAAAACACUUUUAGGAUGUGUUUGAUACGACAAGAGAUGAUAUUUAUUUUUUUAAAAAUAAGUGAAUUUCUUAUUUAUGAAUUGAGCUACCUAGUGCCUUUUGAUGGUGGAAAGUGACAAAAAAUAUAGAUAAACUAAUUAACAUUCAACUAGAAAACCCAAUACAAAAGGGGGACAUAGAAUUAAUGAAGAACUCAUAAAAAGAUCAUCAACACAUAUAUAAAAUACAUGGAGGGAGUUGUGAGGAAACACUACAAUUGAGAUAAUUACUUUUUAAUAGGACCUGUCAAAGUUAAAAUAGUUUGUAUAGUUGUGAGUAUGAGCAGUAUAAUGGCUGCCACAGUUGAAGCUCCUACCCAAGGACUACUAAAA
rnacentral:lncRNA from 1 species